GGAUGUGAGGGUGAUCUGUCUGUGUCGUCUCUCACCACAUUGAUGGCCAGAGUUGAUUCUGCUGAUCUGGGUGGUUGAGCCAGUAUCCUUUCUUCUCUUUCCACUCCAUGCGUCCCUCCUGAGGCUGUGCACUUGGUUGGAGAGGACGGCCUUCCCCACAUAGAGAUUGAUUGCGCUCUUGGAUUGAGGGUAUCCAAGUAGCUCUGCUCCCUGCUAGAAACCCCAAACAUGCUCUCCCAGCGUGGAGGGUGGCCCGUACCUUCACCAAGACGUGUAUUCUCAGCAAACUGCCUGGUU
rnacentral:snRNA from 1 species